rnacentral:rRNA from 1 species
GUCCACGCCGUAACGAUGUCUACUAGCCGUUGGUUCCUUGAGGACUUAGUGGCGCAGCUAACGCAAUAAGUAGACCGCCUGGGAGUACGGUCGCAAGAUUAAACUCAAAUGAAUUGACGGGCCCGCACAAGCGGUGGAGCAUGUGGUUUAAUUCGACGCAACGCGAAGAACCUUACCAGGUCUUGACAUCUAGAGAAUUUUCCAGAGAUGGAUUAGUGCCUUCGGGAACUCUAAGACAGGUGCUGCAUGGCUGUCGU